rnacentral:lncRNA from 1 species
AACGGCGCCGCCCGGCUGGGACCGGGGAGAGGAGGGGUCCCAGGAAGGGCCCCGCGCCGGAGCCAGGGAGGUGGCUGGAGGCCGGGCGGUGGCUUGGGGUAAUCCAGGAUCCGGGCUCAGGGGAGGGGGUGGGGGGCGUCACUGUCCCCGAGGGGCCAGCCCUUUGCAGAUCUCCAAAAAGUUCAAAGUCCCUGGUCAUUAACUUGGGCUUGAAGACGGGAGCUCGCCCAUCCCGGAAGGGGGCUAGGGGGGACCAGGGCCCGCGACAGGAAGCCUCCGCGCGACAGAAAAGCCCCGGGGGACCAGGCAGAGAGACCCGCAGGCCUAGCCCGCCCCGGAAUCGCCCUGAGCCAGGGCCAUGGUCACACUCGCCAAGUCCCAAAGCAUCUCAGACCCAUGCCCAGGCCUGAAGAGUGGCUGAGUUCAACAGGAAGGGUGCCAUCUGGGCACUGGACCAGCACCGUGGGAGACCACUUCCCCUGGCUAAGCCUCAGUUUCCUCAUCCGUGACAUAAGGCUACAGCUCCUGUCACCUCAGAAUGGCUGCUAGGACCACAGUGCAGCAAAGGGCUUUGGGGUACUCCACCCCCCUGUUCUUGUAGAAGUCCCCCGACUCCACUGUUCCUGAGCUGGGGGCAGGCCCUCUGCCUCCUAAACCAGACACACUGUGGCCCCACCUACACUUGAACCCAGCCCAGCCAG